rnacentral:rRNA from 1 species
UACGUAGGGUGCAAGCGUUAAUCGGAGUUACUGGGCGUAAAGCGUGCGCAGGCGGUUCGCCAAGUCAGGUGUGAAAUCCCCGGGCUUAACCUGGGAAUUGCGCUUGAAACUAGCGGGCUUGAGUGUGGCAGAGGGGGGUGGAAUUCCACGUGUAGCAGUGAAAUGCGUAGAGAUGUGGAGGAACACCGAUGGCGAAGGCAGCCCCCUGGGUCAACACUGACGCUCAGGCACGAAAGCGUGGGGAGCAAACAGG